GGCCUGUUAGCUCAGUCGGCAGAGCGUGGUGCUAAUAACGCUAAGGUCGUGAGUUCGAUCCUCAUACAGGCCA